rfam:Xanthomonas oryzae pv. oryzicola BLS256, complete genome.
AUGUGCCAGUCGUACACUCCGGUUCUGCGCGCGCCGUCCGUGCCCACCUGACAGCUGCUCGCUACGUUUUGUUAGCC